UUCGCAAUGCCCGAAAGGGUGACGAAGCGACGCCGCGUGUGGGAAGAAGGCCUUCGGGUUGUAAACCACUGUCGGGAGUUAAGAAAUGCAAGGAUAUGAAUAGUGUCUUUGCUUGACUAAGGCUCCGGAGGAAGCCACGGCUAACUCUGUGCCAGCAGCCGCGGUAAUACAGAGGCGGCAAGCGUUGUUCGGAAUUAUUGGGCGUAAAGAGUACGUAGGCGGCUAUGUAAGUCGGUUGUGAAAGCCUUCCGCUCAACGGGAGAACAGCAUCCGAUACUACAUGGCUUGAGUGCGGGAGGGGAGAGUGGAACUUCUGGUGGAGCGGUGAAAUGCGUAGAUAUCAGAAGGAACGCCGGCGGCGAAAGCGGCUCUCUGGCCCAUAACUGACGCUGAGUGUGCGAAAGCUAGGGGAGCAAACGGGAUUAGAUACCCCGGUAGUCCUAGCCGUAAACGAUGGGCACUAAGUAGAGGGGUUUU
rnacentral:rRNA from 1 species